rnacentral:rRNA from 1 species
CCUACGGGAGGCAGCAGUGGGGAAUAUUGGGCAAUGGGCGCAAGCCUGACCCAGCAACGCCGCGUGAAGGAAGAAGGCGUGCGGGUUGUAAACUUCUUUUGGCAGGGACGAAGCAAGUGACGGGACCGGACGAAUAAGCAACGGCUAACUACGGGCCAGCAGCCGCGGUACUACGUAGGUGGCAAGCGUUCUCCGGAUUUACUGGGGGUAAAGGGCGGGUCGGCGGGACGGCAAGGCAGAUGGGAAAACCACGGGCUCAACCUGUGGCCUGCCUUUGAAACGGGAGUUCUUGAGUACUGGGGAGGCAGCCGGAAUUCCUCGUGUAGCGGUUAACUGCGUCGAUAUUAGGCGGACCCCCAGUGGCGCCGGCGGUCUGCUGGACAGCAACUGCCGCUGAGGCGCGAAAGCGUGGGGCGCACACCGGCUUAGAUACCCUGGUAGUC